UAGGGAAUCUUCCACAAUGGACGCAAGUCUGAUGGAGCAACGCCGCGUGAGUGAAGAAGGUUUUCGGACCGUAAAGCUCUGUUGUUGGUGAAGAAGGAUAGAGGUAGUAACUGGCCUUUAUUUGACGGUAAUCAACCAGAAAGUCACGGCUAACUACGUGCCAGCAGCCGCGGUAAUACGUAGGUGGCAAGCGUUGUCCGGAUUUAUUGGGCGUAAAGCGAGCGCAGGCGGAAGAAUAAGUCUGAUGUGAAAGCCCUCGGCUUAACCGAGGAAUUGCAUCGGAAACUGUUUUCUUGAGUGCAGAAGAGGAGAGUAGAACUCCAUGUGUAGCGGCGGAAUGCGUAGAUAUAUGGAAGAAUACCAGUGGCGAAGGCGGCUCUCUGGUCUGCAACUGACGCUGAGGCUCGAAAGCAUGGGUAGCGAACAGGAUUAGAUACCCUGGUAGUCCAUGCCGUAAACGAUGAGUGCUAAGUGUUGGGAGGCUUCCGCCUCUCAGUGCUGCAGCUAACGCAUUAAGCACUCCGCCUGGGGGAGUACGACCGCAAGGUUGAAAC
rnacentral:rRNA from 1 species